rnacentral:lncRNA from 1 species
UUUUGGAGCUAUGGACCAUUUUGAGUUGGCUGUAUAAUCUUUCAAAUUUUUACUUUUAAUACUGUUGAUACCAAAAAAUUAACACACCGACCUAAUCAACGUAUGAGCCAAAGAAAUAAGGACACGUGGUACACCAGGAGUCGGUAAUAAUGAGUCUGAAGGUCAAAAGCGUUUAGGCGGGAAGGGUUGAGAAGUGGGGCAUAACUUUCAUGAGAAGUGGGGCGUAAUUUUCAUGAUCAUGACUACACCAUUUCCCCCACUACUAUAACCAACCAAUAAUGUGGGCUGAUAAGAUAUUAUAAAUAGUAACUUUGAAGCCUGUAAAAGAAGUUUUUCUCUUCCAUGAACGAAAAGACCACCGCAUUUUCAAUACUUUCAUUUCCUGCAUUUAUCGUUUUUUAGGAGUAGUCUAUAUGUAAUCUUUUUUACACGCAUUUACUGCUUUCCUAGGAAUAGUCUUUAAUUUAGAUUUUGGAGUCUGUAUGCCCUACGGGCACACUCUUGUUUGUACGAGUUUUCGAUGUCAAUCUAAUAUAUAAAGACAUUCGACUCUUUUAGCCGACCAGUCACUGUGUAUUUCAUCCAUUCGGCUCUUUCAGCCGAACCUUCUCUACAGUAGUUGUUUUCGAACUCCACUGAUCUGAUCCCUCAUCAGCCGAAUCUCUGGAGUCUGUAUGCCCUACGGACACACUCUAUUGAAAUCUACAUUUUCAGAGUCUGUAUGCCCUUCGGGCAUACUCUGUUUUGUAUGAGUUACCAACUUCAUUUUAAUAUAUAAAGACAUUUGGCUCUUUCAGCCGACCAGUCACUGUGUAUUCUAUCUAUUUGGCUCAUCAGCCGAUUCAAAAUCCUUUGUCUUCCGUACAUUCGGCUUAUCCAGCCGAACCAAUUCUGUAAUGGGAGGUUCUGAACUCGGCUGAUCCGAUCCCUCAUCAGCCGAAUUGCUUGAUCCAGUCGAAGGGCGCGAACUUCGAGGGGUCACUAAUCGUAGCCGUUCCGCAUCCCGACGCGCUUCCCGAGGAAGAUCUUUGACUGGGUCAAAGAUAAGGGAAUUCGGCUCCCAACAAAUACCCUAUCUUUCAAAUUGUUGAUUUGAGUCUGUCAAUGUCACUUCGACUUCAAAAUUGAAAUACGUCGUUUAUUUUUACGAAUUUAGUUAAUGAAUUUAUGCAAUUUUUACUACCGUAAAUCUAUUAAAGUUAGUAAUUGACUUAAAUUUUAAAGUCCAAGUUCUGUACGAUUUUACCAAAAAAUUAUUAAAAGUUCGGAUGUGCAUGAUAUAGUGGUAAAGUGCAAAGUUAAAACUAAUAAUAUUUUGUUAGAAGAUAUAUAAUUGGGAUACAGGCUUGGAAGUGCGAAGGCUGUGUCAUUUACACUAUAUAUAGAGUUUGACUGGGCUACUAUCGGUAGUAAACUGUUCGGUUUACUACCGAUUUGCUUUUGAUGAUAGAGCUUCCAAAUCGACGAUUGGCACUGUUGAUCAUGAUCUAGACCAUUUUAAUUAUCUAGAAAUCAAAUUUCAUAAUUUUUUGGCAUCACUAACUGAACGAUCAAAGGGUCACAAAAUCUAUAAUUUUAAUGGCCGAUAUGGUGCGUUUGCUCGUUUAACGGUAUAGAAGAGUUCAAAUCAACUAAAUUCUUGUUAGAAAAUUUUUUAAACUAUUUAAAAUAAGAUCUAGACUCUUGAUCUCAAUUAUAAAAAUUGUAUCAUCACUUUUUGAAGGAUAUUCAUUUCCAGCCAUUUAUUUUUCUGUUCACUUGAUAGACAAGAGAACAAUAUCGAAAAUAUGUGAAAUUUGAUUUUCAGAUAGUUUAAAUAGUUUAGAUCAUGUUUAACGGUGCCGAUCAUCAAUUUGGAAGCUCUAUCAUCGAAAACAAAUUGGUAGUAAACUGAGCCGUUUACUACCGACAGUAUUCUAGCAAAACUCUAUAUAUAUAGAUCAUGUCGACCAUUAAAACGCCUCUUAUCGACCAUUAAAAUUACAAAUUUUGAAACCCUUUGAUCAUUAGGCAAAUGAUGUCGAAAAGAUUUGAAAUUUGAUUUCUAAAUACUUUAAGUGGUAUAGAUCAUGUUCAACGGAGCCGAUCGUCAAUUUGAAAGUUCUAUCAUCGAAAACAAAUCGAUAGUAAAAUAGCUCGUUUACUACCGAUAGUAUUCUAGCUCAACUCAUAUAUAUAUAUAUACUAGUUAAGUGCACGUGCAACGCACGUCAUACAAAUACUACAAAAAAAAUUUAUAAAUAAAUUUUAUAGAUUCGAUAAAUAAUAUUUAAUCAUUACUAAAAUAAAAUGAUAGAAAUAAAAAAUAGAAUUACAAUAUCAUAAAAGAAAGAACACAAAAUCUAU